UAGUCAUCACAUGACCCAUCCACAUUGGGAAGCCAGAAUUACUUGCAGGAGUAACCUAGUGCCUAUAGCUAUGGCAGGUACCUGCAUCCUUGUUUUUGUUUAGUGGAUCCUCUAUCCUUCAGAGACUCUGGAACCCCUGUGCUCUUCUCCUCAUCUAGUGACCCUGAGGUGAUGGAGUUUUCAAGUCCUUCCAGAGAGGAAUGUCCCAAGCCUUCGGGUAGGGUGCCUUCAGCCGCUACAAGAGCAGAAGCAGUGGGCAUUGGAUGGAGCUGAGUACAGGACCAUACAGGCUAAUUGCACCGGCACAGGAAUCGGAUAUAACAUCAUCUGGGUACCCAUGGCCAGCUGUGACUUCUCCAUCCGCACCUACACCUAUGCAGACACCCCUGAUGAUUUCCAGUUGCACAACUUCAGCCUCCCAGAGGAAGAUACCAAGCUCAAGAUACCCCUGAUUCACCGAGCCCUGCAGUUGGCCCAGCGUCCCGUUUCACUCCUUGCCAGCCCCUGGACAUCACCCACUCGGCUCAAGACCAGGGGAGCGGGGAAUGGGAAGGGGCCACUCAAGGGACAGCCCAGAGACAUCUACCACCAGACCUGGGCCAGAUACAUUGUGAAGUUCCUGGAUGCCUAUGCUGAGCACAAGUUACAGUUCUGGGCAGUGACAGCUGAAAAUGAGCCUUCUGCUGGGCUGUUGAGUGGAUACCCCUUCCAGUGCCUGGGCUUCACCCCUGAACAUCAGCGAGACUUCAUUGCCCGUGACCUAGGUCCUACCCUUGCCAACGGUACUCACCACAAUGUCCGCCUACUCAUGCUGGAUGACCAACGCUUGCUGCUGCCCCACUGGGCAAAGGUGGUACUGACAGACCCAGAAGCAGCUAAGUAUGUUCAUGGUAUUGCUGUACAUUGGUACCUGGACUUUCUGGCUCCAGCCAAAGCCACCCUAAGGGAGACACACCACCUGUUCCCCAACACCAUGCUCUUUGCCUCAGAGGCCUGUGUGGGUUCCAAGUUCUGGGAGCAGAGUGUGCGGCUAGGCUCCUGGGAUCGAGGGAUGCAGUACAGCCACAGCAUCAUCACAAACCUCCUGUACCAUGUGGUCGGCUGGACCGACUGGAACCCAUCAUUGUAGACAUCACCAAGCACACGUUUUACAAACAGCCCAUGUUCUACCACCUUGGCCACUUCAGCAAGUUCAUUCCUGAGGGCUCCCAGAGAGUGGGGCUGGUUGCCAGUCAGAAGAACGACCCGGACGCAGUGGCACUGAUGCAUCCCGAUGGCUCUGCUGUUGUGGUCGUGCUAAACCGCUCCUCUAAGGAUGUGCCUCUUACCAUCAAGGAUCCUGCUGUGGGCUUCCUGGAGACAAUCUCACCUGGCUACUCCAUUCACACCUACCUGUGGCGUCGCCAGUGAUGGAGCAGAUACUCAAGGAGGCACUGGGCUCAGCCUGGGCAUUAAAGGGACAGAGUCAGCUCACACGCUGUCUGUGACUAAAGAGGGCACAGCAGGGCCAGUGUGAGCUUACAGCGACGUAAGCCCAGGGGCAAUGGUUUGGGUGACUCACUUUCCCCUCUAGGUGGUGCCAGGGGCUGGAGGCCCCUAGAAAAAGAUCAGUAAGCCCCAGUGUCCCCCCAGCCCCCAUGCUUAUGUGAACAUGCGCUGUGUGCUGCUUGCUUUGGAAACUGGGCCUGGGUCCAGGCCUAGGGUGAGCUCACUGUCCGUACAAACACAAGAUCAGGGCUGAGGGUAAGGAAAAGAAGAGACUAGGAAAGCUGGGCCCAAAACUGGAGACUGUUUGUCUUUCCUGGAGAUGCAGAACUGGGCCCGUGGAGCAGCAGUGUCAGCAUCAGGGCGGAAGCCUUAAAGCAGCAGCGGGUGUGCCCAGGCACCCAGAUGAUUCCUAUGGCACCAGCCAGGAAAAAUGGCAGCUCUUAAAGGAGAAAAUGUUUGAGCCCA
ensembl:lncRNA GBA1LP glucosylceramidase beta 1 like, pseudogene